AGCGAAGCCGAGAGGCGGAGCAAAUCCCNGAAAACCGAAUCGUAGUCCGGAUUGCAGUCUGCAACUCGACUGCAUGAAGUCGGAAUCGCUAGUAAUCGCGGAUCAGCAUGCCGCGGUGAAUACGCUCCCGGGUCUUGUACACACCGCCCGUCAAACAAUGGGAGUGGUGUUUACCAGAAGUCGUUGGCCUAACCGCAAGGAGGGCGGCGACCACGGUGAGCACCGUGACUAAUGUUAAGUCGUAACAAGGUAGC
rnacentral:rRNA from 1 species